rnacentral:lncRNA from 1 species
CUGUAAAUAGCAUCUUUGUCUUCUGCUCACAUCCCACUGGCUACAACUGGGUCAGAUGGCUGUACCUAAUUACAGGUGAGGCUGGGAAAUAAAGAGUUGUGUUUCCUGGAAGAAGAGGAAGGAGAGUGAGAUAACAGCUUGCAGUGUUCCCUAUAAAUGCAGGCUCAGUGCUAGUCUGUAAGGAUAUUAAGAUGCAUGAGGUGCUUUGCCUGCCCUAGAGGAGGUCCUCAUCUAGUGGGUGAGACUACACUAUACUGACAGAUAAUUUUAGGGUCCCGUAGAAUAUGCUAUCACCAAGCAAUGGAGGUGAGCCUGUGAGAAGACCAUGUAUGUGUAGAGGGAGCAAGUAACUCUGCCUGUAACAAAGGGGGGGGGGCAUGAAAGGCCUUGAUUAUGUCAGUUUCAUAAAUGUUUAUUGAGCAACUACUAAGAGCGAUGCACCUAUUUCGUGCAAGUUGCUGGAGAUACAGAUAUAAGUGUAGCCCUCAGCGGAGAUGGAUAUCUAAGCAGACCAAUUCAAAUGGAUAAUUGCUCAUAUAUCUGGGAAAUGAGAGGACUAUACUAUGGGCAUGAACUGUGUAUAUGCUUGUUGGGUUAGAUGCUCUGGAUUGGAGUCAGGCAUACUUGGACUUGAAUUCCAUCUUUAACACUGUUAAAGUCACUGUGUGUGGGACUCUGGGCAAGUGUUCCAACUUCUCCGAGCCUUUGUUCUCAUUUUAAAGCAAAGAUUUUAGGGGAGCUCCCCUGGUGGUCUAGUGGUUGGAAUUCGGCACUUUCACAAAAACUUAAAAGUAAAACAAAAAUUUUAAAACAAACACCUAGUAUGGCAGUAUACAUUCUCAGGAGCCAGAAAGCCUGGCUCUCCUACAUACUAACAGUGAUCUUGGGAGAUUCUUCAAAUCAUUCUGGUUUUAGUAUCUUCAUCUUUAUAAUGGAGUUUUAAAUAGUACCACAUAUGGUUGGUAGGUAUGUAUAUAUGAAUUCAGAGAACAAAUGUUUGAUAUGGACGUUAAAUGAGAUAAUGCCAGUGCUUGGCAGACAUUAAGUAUUCAGUCAGUGAUAACAGUUAUGAUUAUAAGGGAUAAGCUGGAGGUAGGAUGACCACAGUGUCCCAAAAAGAAGUUGCUGAGAAACCAGAUGGAACAAAAUGACUAAGGCAAAGAUCUCUGACACCCAGGUUUAUUCUUUGCCCAUCCUAAGACAGAUGAAGCAGUGAAGGCUUGUGAUACUUGGAAGGACAGUGCCUCCAGUUUCAGGUAGAAGGCUAUUAAUUUCCAUGUUUGCUUUCUCUGCCUCUUCCAUUGGUGAGGGCUCUGAGAAUAUGCCAUAAAAUUUAGGUGAAGGCAGGUAUAAAUGAUUUGCUUUAAGAAUACAGGAGGAAAGUCUCUCGAAACACAGCAAAGAGUUUCUAGAACCUUCCAAAAUUCUUUCUCCUUUUAUAGCAUCCCGCAAGUCCAAAGUAAUGAAAUAAAGGCAUGGUAAUAGGUAAACACAAUUACAGCACCCGGGUAGCUCCUUGGCAGGCAGGGGGUGUUUGAGAGCAUUGGCUGGGGUCUCAUUUUCCAUAAUUGAGCCCAGCCCUGCUGUGAUCACUAUAGUAUUAUGACCUAUGGGGCAAAGACGGUACCAUACGUGAUAUUUCAUUUUUGGGUAGCUGGGGGUAGUAAUGAACCAGUUGCAGGCAAGUGAAUUAAUCUCCCCAGCUAUUCAAAAAUGAAACUUCAUGUACAGCAAUUUGUUCUUCAUUGCUUUCCCCCCAACUGUAGCCUUUUCAAAUUACUCUUCUUACAGAAAAAGGAGAGAAAGAGAAAGAGAACUCAAUGAAAAAAUAUUUUAAUCUUUUCUAAACAUUGAUAUCUUUUCUGAUUGUCGAUCGUUAACGGGAAACAUAUUUUGUAGAUACACGACUUAGAGUUGGCGUUGUGGUUCUGUUAGCCUCAUAUCAAUGAUUAUGAAUCUUAAAAAAUGGAAUAAAUAUGCAAAGACUUGGUAUAGCAUAGAUUCCAGAGCCAAUUUCAUACAGUUUAAAUUAUCAAUCGUGGGUUGAGGAUCCGGCGUUGCUGUGAGCUGUGGUGUAGGUUGCAGAUGCGGCUUGGAUCCCGCAUUGCUGUGGCUCUGGCGUAGGCUGGUGGCUACGGCUCCAAUUCGACCCCUAGCCUGGGAACCUCCAUAUGCAGUGAGAGCAGCCCAAGAAAUGGCAAAAAGACCAAAAAAAAAAAAAAAAAAUAGUAGCACUUAUCUCGUUGAGUGUUUCUGUAGAUUCGAUGAGAGAGUGCAUGUAAGCCACUUAUACAGGGCCUGACAUAUGUAAUAUUCAAUAAAUGUCAGGUCUUAAUAUUAUUAACAUUUACUUGAGUGUACUUACAUUAUUUAAAAACGUCUGUUUAAUAAAAACAAGUUGCACCUGUAAGUGCUCCUUUGACUUUCUGAACCUCUAUCAUCAAUUAAUUAAUUCCAUCCAAACAUCAAUUUUGUAAGUUGAGUGUAGAAUUAUUUUAUCCUCCUUGGUUGCUGAGAAGGGUAAGAUAAAGAGGAAUUAAGUGGCUUGCCUAAGACAGGGCUAAUGCAAGUAGUAGAAUCUAUAUUUUUGACUCAUUUACUUUCAUCACAGAAUUGGGGGUGGGUGAGGAAGGGCCAGAGCCCCCAGAACACCAAAGGUUUUUGUGUGUGUGUGUGUGUGUAAUUAUUAUUUUUUGCGAAAGGUUUUUUAUCUGCAGUGCAGGCUGUUUGCAGAUUCCAGCUAAGGGGUUAUUAAGAUUGUGGUAAGGGGGCAAGUAUGUUUGCCCAGGGAAGUGGCAGCAUUUACAUAAGGAUAGCCAACUUUUCUUUGCAAAAAAAAAAAAAAAA